UGACCAGACUCCUACGGGAGGCAGCAGUGGGGAAUAUUGGGCAAUGGGCGCAAGCCUGACCCAGCAACGCCGCGUGAAGGAAGAAGGCUUUCGGGUUGUAAACUUCUUUUAUCAGGGACGAAGCAAGUGACGGUACCUGAUGAAUAAGCCACGGCUAACUACGUGCCAGCAGCCGCGGUAAUACGUAGGUGGCAAGCGUUAUCCGGAUUUACUGGGUGUAAAGGGCGUGUAGGCGGGAGUGCAGGUCAGAUGUGAAAUCCCAAGGCUCAACCUUGGAACUGCAUUUGAAACUGUUGGUCUUGAGUAUCGGAGAGGCAGGCGGAAUUCCUAGUGUAGCGGUGAAAUGCGUAGAUAUUAGGAGGAACACCAGUGGCGAAGGCGGCCUGCUGGACGACAACUGACGGUGAGGCGCGAAAGCGUGGGGAGCAAACAGGAUUAGAUACCCCUGUAUA
rnacentral:rRNA from 1 species